AGAGGUCCUGACUGACCCAGGUUAUGAGCAGAGAGAGGUCCUGACUGACCCAGGUUAUGAGCAGAGAGAGGUCCUGACUGACCCAGGUUAUGAGCAGAGAGAGGUCCUGACUGACCCAGGUUAUGAGCAGAGAGAGGUCCUGACUUACCCAGGUUAUGAGCAGAGAGAGGUCCUGACUUACCCAGGUUAUGAGCAGAGAGAGGUCCUGACUUACCCAGGUUAUGAGCAGAGAGAGGUGACUGACCCAGGUUAUGAGCAGAGAGAGGUCCUGACUGACCUAGGUUAUGAGCAGAGAGAGGUCCUGACUGACCCAGGUUAUGAGCAGAGAGAGGUCCUGACUUACCCAGGUUAUGAGCAGAGAGAGGU